rnacentral:rRNA from 1 species
GACGAACGCUGGCGGCGUGCCUAAUACAUGCAAGUAGAACGCUGAAGGAGGAGCUUGCUUCUCUGGAUGAGUUGCGAACGGGUGAGUAACGCGUAGGUAACCUGCCUGGUAGCGGGGGAUAACUAUUGGAAACGAUAGCUAAUACCGCAUAAGAGUAGAUGUUGCAUGACAUUUGCUUAAAAGGUGCAAUUGCAUCACUACCAGAUGGACCUGCGUUGUAUUAGCUAGUUGGUGAGGUAACGGCUCACCAAGGCGACGAUACAUAGCCGACCUGAGAGGGGGAUCGGCCACACUGGGACUGAGACACGGCCCAGACUCCUACGGGAGGCAGCAGUAGGGAAGCUUCGGCAAUGGACGGAAGUCUGACCGAGCAACGCCGCGUGAGUGAAGAAGGUUUUCGGAUCGUAAAGCUCUGUUGUAAGAGAAGAACGAGUGUGAGAGUGGAAAGUUCACACUGUGACGGUAUCUGACCAGAAAGGGACGGCUAACUACGUG